CUGAUGGAGCAACGCCGCGUGAGUGAGAAGGUUUUCGGAUCUGUAAAACUCUGUUGUAAGGGAAGAACAAGUACAGUAGUAACUGGCUGUACCUUGACGGUACCUUAUUAGAAAGCCACGGCUAACUACGUGCCAGCAGCCGCGGUAAUAGA
rnacentral:rRNA from 1 species